GUCCUGACGCUGCAGCUCUGGCAGAGGAAACAAACCCUGGAUUCCGAAGGCCUCCCAGUCAGGGUUCAACACUGAACACAGGACACUUACCAUGGAUAUAAGGCUCAUAUUGGUUUCCUUUGUUCUUAUUUUAAAAGGUGUCCAGUGUGAGGUUCAAUUGCUGGAGUCUGGGGGAGGCUUAGUGCAGCCUGGACAGUCCCUGAAACUCUCCUGUGCAGCCUCUGGAUUCACCUUCAGUGACUACUGGAUGGACUGGGUCCGCCAGACUCCAGGGAAGGGACUGGAGUGGGUUGCACGUAUUAAUAAUAAUGGUGGUAGCACCUGGUAUACUGAUGCUGUGAAGGGCCGGUUCACAAUCUCCAGAGACAAUGCCAAGAACACGCUGUACCUGGAAAUGAGCAGUCUGAAACCUGAGGACACAGCCACAUAUUACUGUACAAGAGACACAGUGAGUGAAUGCUACUGUGAGCUGAGACAAAAACACAUCUGUGGGAAACACGGGACCAGCAGGGGGCGCAGAGAGCACUUAGAGAUCUGGGUCACAGAAGAGCCUGCUCAGAGAAGUGUCCAGUGUGAGGUGCCACUGUUGGAACCUGAGGGAGACUUAGUACAGCCUUGGAAGUCCCUGAAACUCUCCUAUGCAGACUCUAGAUUCAUCUUCAGUGACUACUGA